rfam:Danio rerio chromosome 4, GRCz11 reference primary assembly.
GCUUACGGCCAUACCACGCUGGCAAUGCCCGAUCUUAUCUGAACUCGGAAGUAAAGCAGCGUCGGGCCUGGUUAGUACUUGAAUGGGAGACCGCCUGGGAAUACCAGGUGCUGUAAGCU